AUUGAACGCUGGCGGCAGGCCUAACACAUGCAAGUCGAGCGAGCGGCGGACGGGUGAGUAAUGUAUGGGGACUGCACGAUAGAGGGGUAUCACUACUGGAAACGGUGGCUAAUACCGCAUAAUAUCGGAUACACCCUCGGGGAUUAGCUCAUAGGUGGGGUAAAGGCUCACUUAGGCGACGAUCUCUAGCUGGUCUGAGAGGAUGAUCAGCCACACUGUGACUGAGACAUGGCCCAGACUCCUACGGAGGCAGCAGUGGGGAAUAUUGCACAAUGGGCGCAAGCCUGAUGCAGCCAUGCCGGGUGUAGGAAGAAGGCCUUAGGGUUGUAAAGUACUUUCAGCGGGGAGGCGUUACCCGCAGAAGAAGCACCGGCUAACUCCGUGCCAGCAGCCGCGGUAAUAC
rnacentral:rRNA from 1 species